GGCUCGUUAGCUUAGUUGGGAAAGCACCUGUCUAGUGAAUAAGGGUCGUGAGUUCAAAUCUCACCUAGGCUG
rfam:Aedes albopictus isolate Foshan contig49268, whole genome shotgun sequence.